UGGGGAAUUUUGGACAAUGGGGGAAACCCUGAUCCAGCCAUCCCGCGUGUGCGAUGAAGGCCUUCGGGUUGUAAAGCACUUUUGGCAGGAAGGAAACGUCAUGGGUUAAUACCCCGUGAAACUGACGGUACCUGCAGAAUAAGCACCGGCUAACUACGUGCCAGCAGCCGCGGUAAUACGUAGGGUGCAAGCGUUAAUCGGAAUUACUGGGCGUAAAGCGUGCGCAGGCGGUUCGGAAAGAAAGAUGUGAAAUCCCAGAGCUCAACUUUGGAACUGCAUUUUUAACUACCGGGCUAGAGUGUGUCAGAGGGAGAUGGAAUUCCGCGUGUAGCAGUGAAAUGCGUAGAUAUGCGGAGGAACACCGAUGGCGAAGGCAGCCUCCUGGGAUAACACUGACGCUCAUGCACGAAAGCGUGGGGAGCAAACAGG
rnacentral:rRNA from 1 species